rnacentral:ncRNA from 2 species
UUGGACCAAGUGAUCUCCAAGGGCUGACCAGAUUCAGAAGUUGUCUAUUCCAUGAGCCUAGAGAUAAGAUACAUGCAUGCCAUCUGCGGGCUGUGCUUCCAACCAUUCAGUAGGUGAGACUCAGGGCCCUUUUGAGCUGUGGAGGAGAAAAGCAUGAGCACCUUCCAAGAUGUUUCGCCACUGGAUCUGCAUCAGCCUCCUGGAAUUGGGACACUCACCCAGGACACACUAUGGUGCUUCAGCCAAGUGAAAGGCACUAUCGAGAUUGGAACCACAGAAGGCUCGGACCAUGGUGCAGUCCCACUGGCUCCCCUGCCCCCCUCUCCUGUGAGACUGGCUGCGGGGAGGGAUCAUGGAUACUUGUCUGCCGGCUUCUGGUUCCCACGCAAGUAAGCCUGCUGUCAAUGGAGGAGGACAUUGAUACCCGCAAAAUCAACAACAGUUUCCUGCGCGACCACAGCUAUGCGACCGAAGCUGACAUUAUCUCUACGGUAGAAUUCAACCACACGGGAGAAUUACUAGCGACAGGGG